CUUUACGGCCACACCUCCCUGAGCACGCCCGAUCUCGUCUGAUCUCGGAAGCUAAGCAGGGUCGGGCCCGGUUAGUAUUUGAUGGGAGUACCGCCUGGAAUACCAGGUGCUGUAAGCC
rnacentral:rRNA from 1 species